AUUUUAAUAAAGAGAAGGAAAAAGUCUCUUUGAUUCAAAUGAAAGGAUGGGAGAUAGGCAUGGCAAAAUAACUCAUAUAUGUGGGUAUCCACCCGAAUCCGUCCCGAAGUUGACGGGGAAAACCUGCUUUGAUUGGGUUUGGGUUUGAGUUUGAAUUUUUCCCGAUUAUAAAAUAUGGGGAUGGGUCGAGUAAUGGGGACACUAGUACCCACCCUGAACAUGCCCCCGAACCCGCCCCGUUUAUUUUAUUAUGUACAUUAUUAUUUAUUUUUGAUAA
rnacentral:lncRNA from 1 species